AUAUUUAUAAAUAAAAUCUGCUCAAUGAUUCUAAAUAGCCGCAGAAUUUUAACUGUGCUAAGGUAGCAUAAUCAUUUACCUUUUAAUUAAAGGUUUGUAUGAAUGAUUUAACAAUUAAAUUACUUUUUUAUCAAUAUAUAUAUAACUUAAACUAAAGAUUAAAAUGUCUUUAUUUAUAAAAAAGACGACAAGACCCUUUUGAACUUCACUUAAGUUUAGCUGGGGAAGCUAAUUAAAUAUUAUUUUAAUUUAAAAUUUUAAAUAAAUUUCUAAUACAAUUAAAUAAAAUAAGUUACCAAAGGGAUAACAGCGUAAUAAUUUUUAAAAGUUCUUAUUUAAAAAAAUGUUUACGACCUCGAUGUUGAAUUAAAAUUACUUUAAGACGCAAUAGUAUAAAAGUAGGUCUGU
rnacentral:rRNA from 1 species